rnacentral:rRNA from 1 species
GACGAACGCUGGCGGCGUGCUUAACACAUGCAAGUCGAACGGAAAGGCCCUGCUUUUGUGGGGUGCUCGAGUGGCGAACGGGUGAGUAACACGUGAGUAACCUGCCCUUGACUUUGGGAUAACUUCAGGAAACUGGGGCUAAUACCGGAUAGGAGCUCCUGCUGCAUGGUGGGGGUUCGAAAGUUUCGGCGGUUAGGGAUGGACUCGCGGCUUAUCAGCUUGUUGGUGGGGUAGUGGCUUACCAAGGCUUUGACGGGUAGCCGGCCUGAGAGGGUGACCGGCCACAUUGGGACUGAGAUACGGCCCAGACUCCUACGGGAGGCAGCAGUGGGGAAUAUUGCACAAUGGGCGGAAGCCUGAUGCAGCAACGCCGCGUGCGGGAUGACGGCCUUCGGGUUGUAAACCGCUUUCGCCUGUGACGAAGCGUGAGUGACGGUAAUGGGUAAAGAAGCACCGGCUAACUACGUG